rnacentral:rRNA from 1 species
UACGUAGGGGGCAAGCGUUGUCCGGAAUCAUUGGGCGCAAAGAGCGUGUAGGCGGCCCGAUAAGUCCGCCGUGAAAGUCCAGGGCUCAACCCUGGAAUGCCGGUGGAAACUGUCGGGCUGGAGUCCGGAAGAGGCGAGUGGAAUUCCUGGUGUAGCGGUGAAAUGCGCAGAUAUCAGGAGGAACACCAAUGGCGAAGGCAGCUCGCUGGGACGGUACUGACGCUGAGACGCGAAAGCGUGGGGAGCAAACAGG